AGUCAUCCCCAGCAUCUAACUAAGGGGCCCGCUGCAGUCAUUGCUCUCGGAUAUUGGGGGCGGGGAGGAUAGGAGAGGCGUGGGCCGGCCAGGAGCUCUCAGUGAGCAAGGCGCGCUUGCAAGCUCAGAACUAUCACUCCAUGCGCUACUUAGUAAAAACAUCACUUUUCCUUUUGCCUUCUUAGAAAGCGGUUCCCAUGGUUACAAGAUAGCGGAGAAUCUUCCAUCCUGGCGUCCCCGGAAGCCCAGAGAUUACUCAGCAGAUGCAAACCUACAGAAGUUGGGUAGAAGGGAAAUCCGGGUAUUGGAACUAAAGUCCCUUUGCAAGGCCUACUACAGCAUAUCGCAGAUGUGGCAUAGACUGAAUGUGACAAAGCUGACAAUCCCAACUGGGUCCGCUCCCCACUCUCGCCCUUCCAGAGGGCACACGAAAUGGGAACUGGCCUUGGCAGUGUUGGCCUCGGUCAGAUGACUCGCUCUUCUUGGCGGCUCUUACUGUGCUCCUCCAGAGGAAAAGACUCUACAUCUCAUGGAAAAAUCAGGCUCUUCACUCUAUGCCCAAAACAUCCUGUACUCUUCUUUGAUGACUUUAUGAGUUCUUUUUGUACUUUUUAAGUAAAACGUGAGUAUCGUCACCUGGAACAAAUUGCAGGAAAGAUCUUCUGGACAGAUUUCCCCUCCUGGUUCCACAAAGCCAUUUCCCUUUUAAUCUGUGUACAAACCUACAUUUUAAAAUGAUCUGAAUGUUUCUGAACUAGCAAGAACAGUUCCUCCUUGCUUUGAAGGGUAAUUUGUGGCAAGUAUAGCAUAUUCUGGAAGCUUUUCUUUAUGUAAUCAUGUAGAGCUUAACUUCCACAUUUUUUAAAAGUGGGAUAAUUGAAUUGAAUUCAAAGCUUUUAAGCAAAAGGUCUGAUUCCAGACAGACAAGGAGGAAGGUUUACUUGUAUUAUUUUAUAUAUGACCUGUAUUAUGGCAUAUCUGAUAUAUUUAUAUAUACAUAAGUUUAUAUAUAUGUAAAUGUAUAUACUAUAUAUACCUCUUUCUAGCAAAUGAAUACAGGCAAUGUGCCAGAGUUAGUACAGUUGUAAAUUGUCAUUCUCUACUUGAGGGCUCUUUAUUUAAAUUCUCCUAAAAUAUGAUGAAUUAGCAUCAUCUCUCAUUAUUGAAAAAUAGGACAUAAAAACAAAAAAGGACAUCCUGCCUUCACAUUAGGUGGAGUGUUCCUCCAGGUUGAUAUUGAGGAUAUAUGAAGGCUUAUUUCUCAAAUGUGGCUUGACUGGUUUAACUAGUAAUACGAGUUUUUAACUGGGUCAUAAAAAGAAGUAUGAAUGCUCCCUUUCAUACAAUGGUCCUUUAUAUAUAGAAAAGAAAUUUCUGCCCUAGCCGGUUUGGCUCAGUGGAUAGAGUGUCAGCCUGCGAACUCAAGGGUCCCAGGUUCGGUUCCGGUCAAGGGCAUGUGCCUUGGUUGCGGGCACAUCCCCAGUAGGGAGUGUGCAGGAAGCAGCUGAUCGAUGUUUCUCUCUCAUUGAUGUUUCUAACUCUAUCCCUCUCCCUACCUCUCUGUAAAAACUCAAUAAAAUAUAUUUAAAAAAAAAAGAAAAGAAAAGAAAUUUCUUUGGACAAAUAUUUCUUCUCUAGUGGAUUUGAAAAACAUAAGUUUGAAAGUUCACAUGUAUCUAAAUUUGCAUUGUUUAAUAAUGCAAAUCAUCAUCCCCUAAUAUACCUAUUUUGUAAGCUUGUUAUUUUCAUAGAUUCUUUGAAGCAUUGCCUUGUAUGAAAAAAUAUGUUCUUAAUAGUUGUUCGGUGGAUUAAAAAGUGAAUUGUUUGUGUAUUUUUCUUAGGGGAAAAGAAAAAAGUAAAAUAAGUGCUUGGGAUUGUUGGAGAAGGCUCAACUGGAAUGAAAAUGUACAUUGUGUUAAGGUUCCAACCCAGGCUCCACAAACCAUCUAACCUUAGGGCCUUCAGAAAUACUUUAGAGUUCCACAAAUAUUAUGUUUUGAAAGUAUAUAUAAACUAUUCUAUUAACUCUAACAAAGCAGUAGCAUCUACACUCAAUUGUAGUGUAGCUUUGAUUUUAACAUAUUAAAGAUUACCAGAUGAUGCAGUUGGGAGGCAGACCUCAGAGUAAUAUAUGACAAAGUUGGCCUUUUUAAGCAGUAGAAAAAGAUGAACAACUCCCUACAUUUGGGUUAGGACAAUUCGCUGUAAAUUUUAAAAAAUAAUAGAUCAUUAUUAUCAGGAUAAAUAUAAAAGACAAUCCAGGUUGAUUGAGUUACUAAAUAUAUUUUAGAAGGUUAUUAUGCCACCACUGAAAAAUAAAAAAAAUUUAAGUAUGUGUGGAAAUGUUUAGGAUAAUUGUAAAAGGCAGAAUUUAAAUUGUGCUAUGUAAUGAUCACAGCUGUGUGUU